AAUGCGUAUGACAUGGGUAUUAAUAGCGAAUUUCGUCAUUACAGAUUCGCGUCGGCUACCGCCACUUUCAACAUCUUGGCUUGGCUCUAAAGUAGAUCACUUCGUAUUGAGAUACGGGUAAAUCAACUCCCUUCGACUCACAUAAGCUAACGGAAAAAAUCUGAAGGGAAUAUUUAAAGAUGUUCUCUAAGCCGGGAAAGAGGGACUCCACGCCUAAGGAAUUCAAGAAUGUCCAAGAAAACCGCAUGCUGGUACGUCCAGUCUCAGCUCUACAGACGACGAACUUGAGGUCCAACUCUUCU